rnacentral:lncRNA from 1 species
UUAGGGUUUAGGGUUUAGAGUUUAGGGUUUAGGGUUUAGGGUUUAGAAUUUAGGGUUUAGGGUUUAGAGUUUAGGGUUUAGGGUUUAGAGUUUAGGGUUUAGGGUCUAGGGUUUAGGAUUUAGGGUUUAGAGUUUAGGGUUUAGGGUUUAGAGUUUAUGGUUUAGGGUUUAGAGUUUAGGGUUUAGGGUUUAGAAUUGAGAAAUGAGGUUUUGGGGAUAAGAUAUAAACUUAGAAAGGUGCUAUUUUGGUCAUUUUAGUUUUUGAAUGCUAUUUUUGUGAUAUAAACUUAGAAAUGUGCUAUUUUGGACAUUU